rnacentral:tRNA from 1 species
GGAAGGGUGGCCGAGCGGUUUAUGGCUCCAGUCUUGAAAACUGGCGUUCCUUCACGGGAACCGUGGGUUCGAAUCCCACCCCUUCCGCCA